AUUGAACGCUGGCGGAAUGCUUUACACAUGCGAGUCGAACGGCAGCACGGGGGCAGCCCUGGUGGCGAGUGGCGAACGGGUGAGUAAUACAUCGGAACGUGCCCGGUCGUGGGGGAUAACGUAGCGAAAGUUACGCUAAUACCGCAUACGAUCUGAGGAUGAAAGCGGGGGACCUUCGGGCCUCGCGCGAUCGGAGCGGCCGAUGUCAGAUUAGGUAGUUGGUGGGGUAAAGGCCUACCAAGCCGACGAUCUGUAGCUGGUCUGAGAGGACGACCAGCCACACUGGGACUGAGACACGGCCCAGACUCCUACGGGAGGCAGCAGUGGGGAAUUUUGGACAAUGGGCGCAAGCCUGAUCCAGCCAUUCCGCGUGCAGGACGAAGGCCUUCGGGUUGUAAACUGCUUUUGUACGGAACGAAAAGGCUCUGGCUAAUACCUGGGGCUCAUGACGGUACCGUAAGAAUAAGCACCGGCUAACUACGU
rnacentral:rRNA from 1 species